rnacentral:rRNA from 1 species
ACGGGGCGCAGCAGCGCGAAAACUUUACAAUGCGGGAAACCGUGAUAAGGGAACUCCGAGUGCCCGUAAAAUCGGGCUGUCCAUCUGUUUAAAUAACAGGUGAAGAAAGGGCCGGGCAAGACCGGUGCCAGCCGCCGCGGUAAUACCGGCGGCUCGAGUAGUGGCCACUAUUACUGGGCUUAAAGCGUUCGUAGCUGGUUUGUUAAGUCUCUGGGGAAAUCUGCCGGCUCAACCGGCAGGCGUUCCAGGGAUACUGGCAGACUAGGGACCGGGAGAGGUGAGGGGUACUCCAGGGGUAGGAGUGAAAUCCUGUAAUCCUUGGGGGACCACCUGUGGCGAAGGCGCCUCACCAGAACGGCUCCGACAGUGAGGGACGAAAGCUGGGGGAGCAAACCGGAUUAGAUACCCGGGUAGUCCCAGCCGUAAACGAUGCGCGUUAGGUGUAUCGGUGACCACGAGUCACCGAGGUGCCGAAGAGAAAUCGUGAAACGUGCCGCCUGGGAAGUACGGUCGCAAGGCUGAAACUUAAAGGAAUUGGCGGGGGAGCAC